AAGGUCCCUAAAUGUAAGUUAAGUGGUAAAGGAUGUGGGAUUGCACAGACAACCAGGAUGUUGGCUUAGAAGCAGCCACUCAUUCAAAGAGUGCGUAAUAGCUCACUGGUCGAGUGAUCCUGCGCCGAAGAUUUCCGGGGCUAAAACUUACUACCGAAGCUACGGCAUCAGUAAUGAUGGGGAGGGGAGCUUCCCAUACGGGUUGAAGCAUGACCGUAAGGACAUGUGGACAGUAUGGGAGUGAGAAUGUUGGCAUGAGUAGCGAGAUGUGGGUGAGAAUCCCACAGGCCGUAAACCCAAGGUUUCCAGGGGAAGGUUCGUCCGCCCUGGGUUAGUCGGGACCUAAGCUGAGGCCGAAAGGCGUAGGUGAUGGACAACAGGUUGAUAUUCCUGUACUACCGAU
rnacentral:rRNA from 1 species